AUUUCUUUAUUCUGCUCUUUCAUGUAAAUUACUUGAGAAUAACAAAAAGAGAGAGAGAUAAAGAAAAGAAAAUGGAUAUUAUUCAAGAAAAGUAAAAUCUAAGUGAAGGCAAAUACUCCAAUCUUAAGGAAAAGCAAAACAAGCAUAAUAUAUUCGGCACAUUUGUGAGACUUGUGUGAGCAUUCUUUUGAAAGGGAUAAAAUCCGUAAUUAAUUACACUUAAACAGGGAGAGUUUGAAGUGAACAUUUUAACCUUUCUAUAUUGCUCAUCAUAGGGAUGGUGCCAAUGGAGAGGCUAGUGGUAGUACCCGGCACUAUUUGACCCAACUAUUCGGUGUAGGGUAUAUUAGGGACGGCACAAGAGGGAGGCUAGUGGCAGUACCUCGUGCCCCUUCCAACUCCACCGGAUAGGAAGCAAAUAGAGUAUAAAGCAUAAGAAAGUAAAAAUGAAAGAUAAUGUAAAUGAAAGUAUAUAAGAAGAAUCAAGUCAAAUUUUUAAUCACUUGAAAACAUACUUUAAGGAUGAAAUCAGUGCAAGAUUAUAUUUAAAUAGGAGGAAUUUAUUUGAAAAUAAUUGAUUUUGAUCAUUAACAUGCUUGUUCUUAAUAUUUUAAUGCAUGACUUAACACAUAAUAUAUUUUGCAUGUGGCAUGAAGUUUUGAAUUAUGGGUUCUCAAUAUUUUGUAAUGCUCCAUAUUUGGAUAAUUUGAUUGAAUGUUUGAAAUACUAUAUGAAGUUAUUUUAUGGUAUUAUUGAAAAGAAAUUUUAGAUUUGUCGUUCACAAUCAUCUUUGAAAUCUGAAAGUUGAAUAAAUUUGUAAAAAGGAGAAGAGAAGUAUAUCUCUAUUUAGGCGAAAUGAAUUGAUUUUGUUUUAUCUUUCAACUUGCCUAACUUUGGUAUAUAAUGUUCUAAUUCAUACCAAAACUCAACAUAAAUACAAAUAUUCUGAAUAUGCUCUUAUAUGUUUGAAAUAUGUGUUUUCAAUCGUAAUGAUUUAAGAUGAGCUACAAUGUGGAAGAUACAUAUCUCAAAUUAUGAUUUUGAAAG
rnacentral:lncRNA from 1 species